rnacentral:rRNA from 1 species
ACCUACCCUUGAGUUGGGGAUAGCCGUUAGAAAUAGCGGAUAAUACCGAAUACGCUCAUGACCCUGUGGGGAUAUGAGGAAACAGGCUACGGCCUGGCUCGAGGAUGGGCCCGCGUCCCAUUAGCUAGUUGGUGUGGUAAUGGCAUACCAAGGCGACGAUGGGUAUCCGGCCUGAGAGGGUGUACGGACACAUUGGGACUGAGAUACGGCCCAAACUCCUACGGGAGGCAGCAGCUAAGAAUAUUCCGCAAUGGACGAAAGUCUGACGGAGCGACGCCGCGUGGAUGAAUAAGGCCGAAAGGUUGUAAAGUCCUUUUGCUGAUGAAGAAUAAGCGUGGUAGGGAAUGACCGCGUGAUGACAUUAGUCGGUGAAUAAGCCCCGGCUAACUACGUGCCAGCAGCCGCGGUAACACGUAGGGGGCAAGCGUUGUUCGGAAUUAUUGGGCGUAAAGGGCAUGUAGGCGGUUUGGUAAGCCUGAUGUGAAAUCCUGCAGCUUAACUGUAGAAUUGCAUUGGGUACUGCCGAACUUGAAUCACUGAGGGGAAACUAGAAUUCCAGGUGUAGGGGUGGAAUCUGUAGAUAUCUGGAAGAAUACCGGUGGCGAAGGCGGGUUUCUAGCAGAUGAUUGACGCUGAGGUGCGAAAGUGCGGGGAGCGAACAGGAUUAGAUACCCUGGUAGUCCGCACCGUAAACGAU